rnacentral:lncRNA from 1 species
GCGCCACCAGUGUUACACACAAGGCUGCCACUGCCACCUUCAGUUCUGUUCUGGGCCCUGGAGUGAGAUGCAUGUGGGGAAAGAAGAGAAAACAAGCAGCCAGAGACAAGGCUGCAAACUGAGCCUAAGGGUCCUCUGUAUCCAGUUGAGAACCACAGAGGAAAUGGCUGGGACUCAGCUGUUCUCUGAUACCAAGUGAUGGAAGGGGGAUGAUUCUCAAGACAACCACACCCUACUGCUUCAAAAUAAAGCUGGCUCUGCAUGGCAUCUCAAAACACAGCAGAUGGCUGCAGUGAGGAUGCAUGAAACGUGAAGUAAAAAAACAAAACAAAAAAAAGCUUUAUAUCAAUUAGCUGUCACCACAAUAAAGCUGUG